GGAUAGACACUUUAACCUUGUACUGUAUCUCUAUAUAAGCGACGGCGAGAAAAAAUUAUACAGAUCAUUCAAUUUCGGACAGAAGUUUACAAUGAAGUCUCUGAUUUUCCUGUUGGUUGUCUGCUUAGCUGUCGGUGCUUAUGCCAAUAGUUGCGAGGAUACUUGUGACGCAACAUACAAUGGAUGCACCCAAGGAUGUCGUGACUCACAUGCGCACGGCCAUGCACUUGACACUUGCCUGAACAACUGUCAGUUGGCGAGAGACACUUGUCGUUCAACAUGUCAUGGUGGACAUGGAAAAUAAAUGUAUUAAUAAAACACUGAAAUAAAAAUAUGAUCAAAUUUUA